rnacentral:rRNA from 1 species
UACGGAGGGAGCUAGCGUUGUUCGGAAUUACUGGGCGUAAAGCGCGCGUAGGCGGCUUUGUAAGUUAGAGGUGAAAGCCCGGAGCUCAACUCCGGAACUGCCUUUAAAACUGCAUCGCUUGAAUCCAGGAGAGGUGAGUGGAAUUCCGAGUGUAGAGGUGAAAUUCGUAGAUAUUCGGAAGAACACCAGUGGCGAAGGCGGCUACACUGGACUGGUAUUGACGCUGAGG